GACUGGUGGCUGAGCUGUAAAGCGCUUGGCUUCCAAACCGGAAGUCCCGGGUUCGAAUCCUGGUGAAGUCU
rnacentral:tRNA from 1 species